AACACAUGCAAGUCGAACGAUGAAGUCUAGCUUGCUAGACGGAUUAGUGGCGAACGGGUGAGUAAUGCUUAGGAAUCUGCCUAUUAGUGGGGGAUAACGUAGGGAAACUUACGCUAAUACCGCAUACGUCUUACGAGAGAAAGGGGGCUUUUAGCUCUCGCUAAUAGAUGAGCCUAAGUCGGAUUAGCUAGUUGGUGGGGUAAAGGCCUACCAAGGCGACGAUCUGUAGCUGGUCUGAGAGGAUGAUCAGCCACACUGGGACUGAGACACGGCCCAGACUCCUACGGGAGGCAGCAGUGGGGAAUAUUGGACAAUGGGCGAAAGCCUGAUCCAGCCAUGCCGCGUGUGUGAAGAAGGCCUUUUGGUUGUAAAGCACUUUAAGUGGGGAGGAAAAGCUUGUGGUUAAUACCCACAAGCCCUGACGUUACCCACAGAAUAAGCACCGGCUAACUCUGUGCCAGCAGCCGCGGUAAUACAGAGGGUGCAAGCGUUAAUCGGAAUUACUGGGCGUAAAGCGAGCGUAGGUGGUCAUUUAAGUCAGAUGUGAAAGCCCCGGGCUUAACCUGGGAACUGCAUCUGAUACUGGGUGACUAGAGUAGGUGAGAGGGAAGUAGAAUUCCAGGUGUAGCGGUGAAAUGCGUAGAGAUCUGGAGGAAUACCGAUGGCGAAGGCAGCUUCCUGGCAUCAUACUGACACUGAGGUUCGAAAGCGUGGGUAGCAAACAGGAUUAGAUACCCUGGUAGUCCACGCCGUAAACGAUGUCUACCAGUCGUUGGGUCUCUUGAAGACUUAGUGACGCAGUUAACGCAAUAAGUA
rnacentral:rRNA from 1 species